GGGAGGGGGAGAGAGAAAGAGGAGGGAGGGGGAGAAGUAGGACCGAGGGAGCAAAGCACUGAGGCCGCCGAGCCGAGCUAUCCGUUCCCUUCCCUCGCACGCACAGGCACAACUCUCAGAUCCGAAAGCCCAAGAGAAUCGCGCCCUCGCCUAGCUUAGAUGCGCGACGCCGACUGCCGCCGCCGCUGCUACUGUUGCUGCUGCUAGGUUUCUGCGGAGAUGCCGGGCGCUGAGGCCGACGGCGGCGCCGGCGCCGGCGCUUCCUCCUCCUCCACCGCAGAUAGUUUUGACGCCGGGCAGUACGCCUUCUUCGGGAAGGAGCCGCGCGACGGGCUCGAGCUAGGUUGCUUGGAGGCUGAUGGUGGCCAUGGCAAUGGCGGUGGAUUCAGCGGGCCAGAGGAUGGUGGCUUGUACCGGCUCUCUUCGGUGGGAGAAGAGAUUGACAAUCUAAGUAACUUGUCGGAUGUCGAUGAUCUUGCGAGUACUUUUGCUAAGUUGAACCGAACCGUUAGUGGUGGAACACGGAAUCCUGGUGUUAUCGGUGACAGACGAUCCAUUUCAAGAGGAAGUUCUUUAACUGUUGAUUGGACUGAGGAUGUCGAGUUUCCCAAUUAUCAGGAUAUAUUAGAAAAUGAGGAAUUCCAGGAAGGUAAAAGAUGGUGGUCAUCGCAGUCACAUUCUUUGAUGCAGCAAGGGGACAACAAGCCGUUAAGUCGAACAUCUUCCUAUCCUCAGCAGCCACUGCAGCACCGUUCCAGUGAACCUAUCACAGGACCAAAGUCUCCUCCGUUAACCUCGUUUCCGCCACCAGGUGGUAGAUCACCACAUCCUGCUCAAGGUCUUACACGUCAUGGGAGCAUUCCAUCGUUUGGAGCUGGGAUACAGAUGGGUUCUCCGAGCAUGCCACUGCCAGGUUCCCCGUAUCAUAUGGUUGGGUUACCUCAUGGACUACCAUAUGGUGGAAGCAUGCCCUUUGGUGGUCCUAAUAUGCAUGUAAGCAAUCCAAUGCAAAAUGACUGGUCAAACCAAGCCAACCUGUUCACUGGGGAGCACCUUAAUCUACUGCCAAACUUGUUACAGAAACAAAUAUCGCUUCCGAAUAGCCCAAUGUCAUCACUGCUAUUCUCUCAGCAACAGCAGAGAUUGGCACAGCUCCAACCAUCCCACCAUCAUAAUUACCUAAAUUUACCACCCCACCUAUUCUACCAUCAUCACCCCCCAGAGAUACCAGGCAGGUUUGAAUCUGCUACCAGUCUUCCUUCAUCAAGAGACAAGAGAUCAAGAUCAGGAAGGGGAAAACACAGUUUACGUUUUUCUCAACCACCAUCUGAUACUACUGGUAGUCAGAACGGUGAGAGUGGUGGACUGAAGUUUAGAUCCAAGUACAUGUCAUCUGAAGAGAUUGAGUCUAUUCUAAGAAUGCAGCACUCGGCAAGUCACAGCAGUGAUCCUUACGUUGUUGAUUAUUAUCAUCAAGCUUGCAUGGCGAAAAAGGGUUCCAGUUCUAAGCAAAAGACCAAUUUCUCCCCAACAUCAGUUAAAGACUUGCCCUCCAAGUCCAGAUCAAGUGGUGACCAGCAUGCAUAUCUUCAGGUCGAUGCUCUUGGGAGAGUUUCUUUCUCUUCCAUUCGCAGGCCCCGGUCUCUUCUUGAAGUUGACAAUCCUUUGUCAGGUGAGGGUCCUCAUGAUCAGAAGUCUUCCGUGAGGUCCCUGGAGAAAGAACCUAUGGUAGCAGCCAGGGUCACUGUUGAAGAUGCCAUUGGUCUUCUUCUUGAGGUGGAUGAUAUUGACAGGCUCCUGCAGUCUAGCCAGGCACAGGAGAACAGCUUCCAGCUGAGGCGAAGGCGACAAGUUCUCCUUGAAGGUCUAGCCGCGUCACUUCAGCUUGCUGACCCUCUUGGGCCCAGCAAAUCUGCCAAUUCAUCUGGUUUAGCCCCUAAGGAUGAUAUUGUCUUUCUUCGCAUUGUUUCUCUUCCCAAAGGACGUAAGCUUCUGGCUCGUUAUAUCCGGCUUAUUGUCCCUGGAAGCGAGUUGACCAGGAUUGUGUGCAUGGCUAUUUUCCGACACCUGAGGUUCUUGUUUGGGGGUUUACCAUCAGAUUCAAGUGCAGCAGAGACAACAGUUGCUCUGGCAAAGACUGUUUCGACUUGUGCUCACCAUAUGGAGCUCGGUGCUCUUAGUGCUUGCCUUGCUGCAGUUGUCUGUUCAUCUGAGCAACCACCUCUCCGUCCUCUUGGUAGCUCUGCUGGUGACGGGGCUUCUCUUAUUAUCAAGUCAGUACUGGACCGAGCAACUGAGUUGCUGACUGAUCAGCGUGCCGUAUCCAGCUAUACCCCGUCAAACCGAGCUCUCUGGCAGGCAUCGUUUGAUGCUUUCUUUGGGCUUCUGACAAAAUACUGCCUCAGUAAGUAUGAAAGUAUUCUGCAGAUGUUUGUGAUGCAGGCAUCAGGCUCUGUGAUUGGAUCUGAAGCCUCCCAAGCAACCAGCAGGGAGAUGCCAGUAGAGUUGCUACGUGCAAGCCUCCCCCACACAAACGAGCAGCAACGCCAGAUGCUGCUUGAUUUCGCUCAGAGAACCACGCCUGCCAGCAGUUUUAAUCCCACUGGUGCUAGCGGUGGACACAUCUCUUCUGAAUCGGUUCCUGGUUAAUAUAGCUCAAGGCCUCUGCGCAAUUGUCUUCGGAAUGGUUAUUCUUAUAUAUCCGAAGACAUGCAUGAUUGCCCCCUUGAUAAGGUUUUGAGCUGGGAGAAGUUCCAUGGGCUCAGGAAAGUAGCCUUAUUUCAGUCUGUGACUUUAAGUGUAGGUUUCAGAUUAAUCUCAUAGACCAACAAAAAGAGAUGGAUCCCCCCUUUUAUGUGGGUCAUUUACUAUAGCACACCCACCUGAUGAUCACAAAUAGACUGUGGAGACAUGUACUUAUAUUGCUGCAACUCUGUGCAGUGGAUGAACUGGUCAGCUCGCUCGUCGGGGCAAUCUAGUUUUUAACGUUUAUGCGCCCGUGGUGCAGAAGACCGUAGUGUACAGGUUCGACUGCUAGAGCUUUCCUGUCUGUUCUUUUUACUGGAGCAUGGAAGGUGCCAAAGGAGUCAAGUGUGGAGUCUGGUCCAUCUGUUUUAUUAGGACCAGGUAUGUUGGAAUAAUGAUGGGUAAGUGCUAUUUAUAUGCUACUGCUGGAAAGAUGUUUUUUCUUCGUUGCAACAUUUUAUAGAUGUGUCAUGUCCCUCCCAGGUAUCCACUGAUAUUAUAGUGGAGCACUGGAAAUGGAAGCAUUGUCAUUUGUUCAUCUUUUUUAGUUUGGCACUUUGUUUUUCUCAAGGGAUGUGGGGCCAGUCUAGUUGGCUAUAGAACAAUACAAUUGUAUGUGCUGCUGAGUCAAAGAUAGAAAUUAUAGAAUUACAAUCAACCUUCCUUUUUUUUCGAGCAAAACAGAGGCCACCCUGUCCGGUUUUCAUUAUAGAAAACCGAAUGUCUUGCAUAGAAGUUGAGUUUUUGUAUGUGUGGGCAUAAUCUAGAUCUCAUGCCAUCAUCAUCAUCAUGGUCUUGAACUCGUCGAAGGUGAGCACCCCGUCGCCGUUGAGGUCGAACCGGCGGAUCAUAACCUGACACUCGUCGAGACGUCGACUUCCAGGUGCAGGCCUAGCCUGCUCAUCAUCAGCUUGAGGCUGAGCGGGGUGAUGCAGCCCCUCCCUUCCAUCUCGUACACCCCGAACGCCUCCCUGCACCUGUUUUCCUCUUCCUCGUGGCCGGCCUCAGCCUCCCGCACCAGCCUCAGGAACCCCUCCUCGUCCAGCAGCCCGUCGCCAUCGGUAUCUGCGGAGGCCAUCAGGGCCUGCACCUCCUCGGUCGACAUGUCGCCGCCCAGCGCCUCCUUGAUGCAGAGCCGCAGCUCGGCCGUGGAGAUCUGCCGUGAUGCGGCCAUGCUCAUUCACUCGGCUGGGGUGGUAGCUGGUUUCCUGCUGCUGGUUGACAUCGACUUCUGCUGUGUGGUAUUUAUAGCUGGGAAUUGGUAUGGGCGAGCAAACUAAGCCAAAUAGCACCUACUAGUCCAGAAUUUCUACGGUGACACCAAGAGCGAGUUAAAUUUCGGACCAG
rnacentral:rRNA from 1 species